UCUCUCUCUCUCUCUCGCUCUCGUCUCUCUGCGCCAGUUUUCUCCACAAAAUAACCCUCUUCUUCCCACUCUUUCUCCUCCUCCGCUUCUCCCCUUCUUCGUUCACUUCCCUCGACGGAGAUCGACGAACGGGAUUGCCCGACGAGCUUUGGCGCCCGAUUUCUGGUUCCUUAUUUCGCUUCUUGUUCCAAAUAGGCUGACGGAGUGUUCUCUUCCAUUGUUUCGGGCGAGUUAGGGUGUUGGAGCGAGAUCUGAACCCAGAUCGAGUGCUUUGGGAUGUUGAUCUUUGAAAUUUGGUGAGUAAUUUGCGGAUUUUUUGCUCUCUAGAACGGCUUGAGAGAGAAAUAAAAUGGCUUGAGAGCGAGAUACAUAGAGAAACAACGAAAGCAAAACUAGGGCGUCAGUGGCUAAAGGUAGAAGGAUACGUGUUGGACAAUGGGAGGCAGCGAAGCAGACACCAAGGGACCGAGAACAUCAGUUGCGCUGGAGCAUCCGCCGGCAACAAGCUCUAGCCCCAGUGCAGCAGUCUAUCCGGAAUGGUCUGGAUUUCAGGCAUACCCGUCCAUUCCUCCACAUGGCUUCUUCCAUUCACCAGUGGUAUCAAGCCCUCAGGCUCAUCCAUACAUGUGGGGAGCACAGCACCUUUUGCUGCCUUAUGGGACUCCACCACCUCCAUAUGUUAUGUAUCCUCAUGGAAUAUAUACACAGCCAUCUGUGCCACCUGGUUCACAACCAUUUAGUCCUUAUGCUAUGACCUACCCUAAUGGCAGUGCUGAAGCUUGUAAGAGUGUGCCUGCAAUCACAGAAGGAGAUAUUAAAUCAUCCGAGGGUAAGGAAAGGAAUUCUAUUCAAAGGUUAAAAGGAAGUCUUGGAAGUUUGAACAUAAUAGCAGGAAAGAACAGCAAUGAUGCAGAUAAAACUUCAGUUGCAGGUGACAGAGUCUUGUCGCAAAGUGAGAGUGGAAGUGAUGAUUCAAGCGAAGGAAGUGAUGCAAAAUCUGAGGACGACUUGGAACAAAAAACGAGAGGCAAACAGGAGCUUCUGGAUGAGAUAUCCAGAAAUGGCACAAAUGGUGUGACCACUGCACCAACAUGGGCAACAUCACAUCAGACAAUGCCGAUUAUGCAUAUGCUACCAGCUGGAGUACCUGGAGUGGUUGCUGGUCCCACCACAAACUUGAGUAUAGGGAUGGAUUACUGGGUUGCUCCAACAUCUGCCAUUCCUCCAGAGCAUGGGAAGGUCCCUGCAGCAGCAGCUACAGGAGCCAUGAUUUCCGGUGCACUUGUUGGGGCCAGUGAGAAGGUUCCAUCAGAGAUUUGGCAACAGGAUGAAAGAGAACUCAAAAGGCAGAGGAGAAAGCAGUCAAACAGGGAAUCUGCACGUCGGUCGAGAUUGCGCAAGCAGGCAGAGUAUGAAGAAUUGGCUCAGCGUGUUGAGGCUCUAAGAGAUGAGAAUGCUGCUCUUCAAGCAGAAGUAGAGCAGAUCAAGAAAGAAUACGAUGCACUUGUUGCAUUAAAUGCCACUCUGAAGGAGAGAACCGGGGAAACAACAAAAGAAAAAGAAGAUUUGAUAAUCAAGGAGAGAAGCCAACAUGCUGUUGACAACGUCCAGAGGAACAUGGAUUCUGAUCCACCAUCGGGGCCAUCAGAAAAUAAUCAGAUUGAUCAAUAAAACGGCAACUUCUACAUCAAGCCAAGCAGCGGGUAUAAUGCUGGAAUUAGUGCUCAUUAUUUAGAGCAACACCAGGAAACUUGUUCCACACAUGCUGUUAAUUCUGAGGAGCAACCUACAUCUUUAGGAGGAUGAAUGCAGUUCCUACUAAAGCAUCUUCCAUAAGACUGCAGCUGCUGUGCCCACACAAUUACUGCCAAAUGUCGACUGAAAGCAAUGUCUUGCACCAAAGAACAUUGUUUCGACCAAUCUGGUAUGGUCUUUUUCUUUUCUUCCAUAGCAGCUCAUGGACUAAUUUCCACCUUGCAUGAUGAACAUUAUCUUUUGGACUCCCCAACCCCUCAUUCCCUCAUCUCCAACUGGCCAUGCUUUUUGUGCCAUGUGGCAUGACCAUAUCUUGAGUCAUGAGAUGGCCACCAAGCAAUCUCCAUGCAUCCUAACCCUCAAAAACACCUAGUUUGCAGGAUUCAUAAACCAAGAGAAGAUUUUAAAUGCAUGUAAAUUCCUUCUUUUUUUUAUUUUUUAAUUUCACUGUCAGAUGAAGCUAGAAGACAACCUUCACAUAGGAAACCCAAACUCCCACCUCA